rnacentral:rRNA from 1 species
CGCGCCCGGCCCGCCGCCCCCGCCCCCCUACGGGAGGCAGCAGUAGGGAAUCUUCCACAAUGGACGAAAGUGUGAUGGAGCAACGCCGCGUGAGUGAAGAAGGUUCUCGGAUCGUAAAACUCUGUUGUGAGGGAAGAACAAGUACCGGAGUAACUGCCGGUACCUUGACGGUACCUCAUUAGAAAGCCACGGCUAAAUACGUGCCAGCAGCCGCGGUAAUACGUAGGUGGCGAGCGUUGUCCGGAAUCAUUGGGCGUAAAGCGCGCGCGGGCGGUCCCUUAAGUSUGAUGUGAAAGCCCACGGCUCUACCGUGGAGGGUCAUUGGAAACUGGGGGACUUGAGUGCAGAAGAGGAAAGCGGAAUUCCAAGUGUAGCGSUGAAAUGCGUAGAGAUUUGGAGGAACACCAGUGGCGAAGGCGGCUUUCUGGUCUGUAACUGACGCUGAGGCGCGAAAGCGUGGGGAGCAAACAGGAUAAGAUACCCUGGUGUCCACGCUGUAAACGAUGAGUGCUAAGUGUUAGGGGGUUCC